rnacentral:lncRNA from 1 species
CAAUGUUGUAUCGGUCGGGCGGGCACACAUAGGCCGUGCCGCCGCCCGAUCCGCUGUUGGCCGCGGGCACCUGGUACGAGGUGACGUACCCGUUGCCUCCGUUGCCGUUGAAGCCGGCAGCGCCACCCCAUGUAUAACAGGGCAGCGAGUAGGUGGCGGUGCCGCCCUCCCACUGCCGACCGGGCGAGGUCCACGACGCACCGCGCGCAAACGGCUUGGUGACGUCGCCAUUCACAAAGGAAAAGCCGGCGCCGGCGCCGCCGGCCUUGAUGUCGCCGAUCAUGGCACCCUGCGCCGAUGCCGCCAGGGGGUUGUCGUUGGCGGCGCCCGACGGGGUACCGCCACCGCGCACAACACCCGAGGCCGACGACGCAGCGCCGCCGCCGGCACCGCCUUGGCAACCGCGACGUCCUCCCGACAUCAGGAGACGCCCGCCACCACCACCAUAAGCCGUCGCGCUAAACAGUGCGGUACCGUUGGGCGCCUUGACAACGACCGACGUCUGACCGCCGUUGCCCGCCACCAAGUCGAGGAUGCUGCCAAGCGCCGCGCCUCCCUGGCCGACAUCCACGGUCCACACGGCGUCGCUGGCGGCAAGGUCCCAACUGGCGUCGCCCAGUGCGCGCGCAAUGAUCGCAGAGCCGCUGCCGCCGCUUGCGCCGCACUGCGCCGUCGAUGCGGCGCCGCCACCGCCGCCCCACAGGCUCACGACCACGUUGGUGGCGUCGGCCGGCAGGGACCACGUCUGCGAGGCGCCCAAAAGGACAGAAUAACGGUGCCCAUCAACGACGACGGUCGCGGUGCAACACAAGAGCGCCAACAGGGCCAGGCCGACGAGCGGGGCGCCAUAGGACUUGUGCAUUGUCAUCGUCGCUGAUCACAGAGACUUGUUAAGGGGGCGGGAGGGAGUGAUCACUAGGGCGCGUGCCUUUUGCCUUGAGGCGAUCCCCAAUUUUAGCCCGCCGGUCGACGGAAAGCCGACGGGCGACCACAGUCUCGGCCUCGCCGCACCACCCGCCUACCGGAGCCGAGUCUCUGGCGCAACCCAAAAGAGCAAAAAAGAGAACCCAUCUUUGUGUCGGGUGUCGAGUUUUUGCAAGCCUUUUGUCCCCCUUUUUUUGAUCUCUGCCCACACGCGGGCGCUGAAAGGGCUGACCAAUCCCCAACGGCCGAGGACGCAA